UCCUCCCCUGAACACAAUAACUAUAACCAUGGAAUGGAACUGGGUCUUUCUCUUCCUCCUGUCAGUAACUGCAGGAGUCCACUCCCAGGUCCAGCUGCAGCAGUCUGGAGCUGAGCUGGCAAAGCCUGGCUCUUCAGUGAAGAUUUCCUGCAAGGCUUCUGGCUACACCUUUACCAGCUAUGAUAUGCACUGGAUAAAGCAGAAGCCUGGACAGGUCCUUGAGUGGAUUGGAUAUAUUUAUCCUGAAAGUGGUAGUACUAACUACAAUGAGAAGUUCAAGGGCAAGGCCACAUUGACUGUAGACAAAUCCUCCAGCACAGCCUUCAUGCAACUCAGCAGCCUGACACCUGACGACUCUGCGGUCUAUUACUGUGCAAGACACAGCAUUGUAACCACAUGUAUGUUUCUUGUAUGCAGCAAAAUGCUGGGUCCUUUUUCUGGAUCCAGUCUGUUUGUCUAG